CCCCCACCAAUGUGUAUAGGAUCCCAAAGGAUCACUAUUAAAUUUGGCGUGGAUCUCUAGAAAAAUUGUCACAUGAGUGUGGGACUUGACUUUUUUUAGAGAUCCAUGCUAAAUUUAAUGGUGAUCCUUUGGGGUCCUACACAUAUGGGUGGGGG
rnacentral:pre_miRNA from 1 species